rnacentral:tRNA from 1 species
UAGUUCUAUACUUUAAUAAAAAGAUCUGAUUUGCAUUCAACCAUUGAGAUACUACUCUAGAACUAU